GGAUGAAUGGCUGAGUGGUUUAAAGCACCAAUUUUGAAAAUUGGCAUAAGGUAUAUUAUCGUAGGUUCAAAUCCUACUUCAUCUA
rnacentral:tRNA from 1 species